rnacentral:rRNA from 1 species
GACGGGGGGGGCAAGUGUUCUUCGGAAUGACUGGGCGUAAAGGGCACGGAGGCGGGGAAUCGGGUUGAAAGUGAAAGUCGCCAAAAAGUGGCGGAAUGCUCUCGAAACCAAUUCACUUGAGUGAGACAGAGGAGAGUGGAAUUUCGUGUGUAGGGGUGAAAUCCGUAAAUAUACGAAGGAACGCCAAAAGCGAAGGCAGCUCUCUGGGUCCCUACCGACGCUGGGGUGCGAAAGCAUGGGGAGCGAACAGG